rnacentral:lncRNA from 1 species
UAUGAAGGGGAGCACAAUCAUCCUCAACCUCCUCAAAUUGAGUCAACAUCAGGUUCUGGUCGUAGCGUGAACCACAGUUCGGUACCUUGUUCGGCGUCACUCACCUCACCAGCAGCACCAAAAGUGGUUACACUAGACUCAACAACUUCUAAGAAUAGUAAAGAUUCCAAAAGUAUUGAACCAAGAAAAGAUUCACCUAAGGAGGCUAAGGUACCAAAGAAUUUGGUGGAACAAAUGGCUACUUCAUUGACAACUGAUCCAAAUUUUAGAGCAGCACUUGUUGCAGCCAUUUCAGG